ACCCCCACAGAAACCCGAGCUCGCUCGGAAAUCUCCCUGUUUAUUAAAACCCCUCUUUCCUCUUCCUUCAACAAUUCCGCACUAGGGUUUUUUUUCUCCUUCUGAUAGAUCGAUCUAGGGUUUUAUCCACACAAAUCUCCACUACCAAUCUCCAAAGCAUCAUCCUCUCACUCCAUCGCAAACAAUGGCUCGCAAUGAAGAGAAGGCGCAGUCGAUGCUCAACAGGUUCAUCACCAUGAAGAACGAAGAAAAGAAGAAGCCCAAGGAGCGCCGCCCCUUCCUCGCCUCGGAGUGCCGCGACCUCGCCGAGGCGGACAAGUGGAGGCAGCAGAUCAUGCGCGAGAUCGGCCGCAAGGUCGCCGAGAUCCAGAACGAGGGCCUCGGCGAGCACCGCCUCCGCGACCUCAACGACGAGAUCAACAAGCUCAUCCGCGAGAAGGUCCACUGGGAGCGCCGGAUUAUAGAGCUCGGUGGGCCCAAUUACACUAAACAGUCUGCCAAGAUGACCGACUUGGAUGGGAAUAUAGUUGAUGUUCCGAACCCUAGCGGCCGUGGCCCCGGGUAUAGGUACUUCGGGGCCGCGAAGAAGCUCCCCGGGGUGAGGGAGUUGUUCGAGAAGCCACCAGAGUUGAGGAAGAGGAGGACUAGGUAUGAUAUAUACAGGAGGAUUGAUGCAAGUUAUUACGGGUAUAGGGAUGAGGAGGAUGGGAUAUUGGUGAAGUUGGAGGCGCCCGCGGAGGAGAAGAUGAGGAUCGAGGCGGUGGCAGAGUGGAAGGCAAUGGAGGAGAUUAAGAGGGAGGCAAAGAGGGCUGUGAAGAGCGGGGAGGAGGCGAUGGUGUCAGCGGCUGCAGCUGCAAAGAUUUUGUUCGAGGAGGAGGAGGAUGUGGUGGAGGAGGAGAGGAAGGAGAGGGAAGAGAUGGAGAAGGAGAAGGAGUUUGUGGUGCACGUGCCGUUGCCGGACGAGAAGGAGAUUGAGAGGAUGGUGGUUGAGAAGAAGAAGAUGGAGCUUUUGAGCAAGUAUACUAGUGAAGAUCUUAUGGAGGAGCAGAGUGAAGCCAAAGACAUGCUUAACAUUCAGCGGUAGAAGGUAGGCGUGCUCCGUGUUAGUCCUCAAUGUCGAAUUUACAUGCGUAAUCCAUAGUUCGGUUGUUUUCACUUGCUGAGCUUUAGACAAACACAGAAUGAGGAUGAGUGUCAAAUAAGUUUGCUGAACUUCAGGGGAUGGAGAAAAGAAAAUGAUAGAAAUGGUUGGAAUAUGAUUGACUAUCGGCUGAUGAAAGAUUGAAAUGUCUGCAUUUAUAUUUGGGGAAGCCACUAGCAGUGAAUGGUUGCAGUGGUAAUUUGGAAGAUUUCUAUUUCAGGUGGACAUGAUUGCAGACUUGAUGAUAUUGAACGUCAAGUAAUCGAUGUUUUUGAUCCUAUGUUUUCAGGAAUAGCAUUGUAGGCAGAGAAAUUGCACAAUUGCAUGGAUAUCUGGUGUGGUCUGGCGGAUACGUGUCCAAGUAUUGAAUCCAUCUGAUUUUUAAUUCAAGGUUACAGGGACACGCUGGAAUUUGUAGACCUUAGUAUAUAUUUUUUAUAUGGUAGUUUAAAUGGUGUUUAUACUGAGGAUAUGCCUAAUUUGACAUGGCAUGCCAAGUGGAUGAAUUGGCAUUUGAGCCAACUCCGACCAAGAUGUCAAUUACCUAGGCGUUAUUUUGCAGUAAUAUGGUGUACUAAAUUUGAAAACUUCUUGUAUAAAAAUGACCACUUUUUAGUUGUUAA